rnacentral:lncRNA from 1 species
UGAAUUUUGUAGUGCAGACAUGGAAAGCGGGGAAUGAAAAAAAGUAAAAGGGGAGAGAUCCGAAGCCAGAGUGGGCGUUGCGCCCCAGAGCUGCCGACAGUUGUAGCCUAGAUACGACAUGCAGCGCAGACGUCCCUGAUCUCCCAAGCAGAGCUCCGGCCCACUUUGAAGUGUUGACAACACGGAAAAUUAAAAGCAUCACAAUGCGAAUUAUCACGUUGUUUUUUCCACUUUGAUAGCCUCUAUAAAGCAUUUUAUACAGAUGAAUCAAUACAAAUGUCUCCUUACAAAGACAUCGGGAACAACAACAACAACAAAAAACAGUGAAUUUUUUUUUCCUGAAGAGAAACUGACAAAACCAACAAAGAGAGUUUAGCUCUGGCUCACAUGACAGCUCUAAGUAACUCGGCUCCUUGAUGACUCUUUAUUUGGAGAAGACCCAUAUUUCUCAGAUCUUCAUAUCCUCCUUGAGCUAAGAUCAUCUAAGAAGGUUUUGGAUGGAUCCACCUCAAAGUUCAUUGACUGCAAGCAGCAGAACCAGGGCUGACUCAGAGUGCUGGCAGAAGAACUGUUGGAAGGAUGCUGCUGAAGGACCACAGCACUGGCGGGAUGUGAGAGGGAUAAGACUUAGAGAGCAAGGCUGUUGGCCUCUCUGGACUUCUCUGGGAACCAUGAAAACCAUCUCGCAGCAAGACCUAUAAAGUAAACCACUGCUACAACAAUGAGUGCCCUCUGGCCAUCCUCC